rnacentral:rRNA from 1 species
GAUGAACGCUGGCGGCGUGCCUAAUACAUGCAAGUCGAGCGAACGGACGAGAAGCUUGCUUCUCUGAUGUUAGCGGCGGACGGGUGAGUAACACGUGGAUAACCUACCUAUAAGACUGGGAUAACUUCGGGAAACCGGAGCUAAUACCGGAUAAUAUUUUGAACCGCAUGGUUCAAAAGUGAAAGACGGUCUUGCUGUCACUUAUAGAUGGAUCCGCGCUGCAUUAGCUAGUUGGUAAGGUAACGGCUUACCAAGGCAACGAUGCAUAGCCGACCUGAGAGGGUGAUCGGCCACACUGGAACUGAGACACGGUCCAGACUCCUACGGGAGGCAGCAGUAGGGAAUCUUCCGCAAUGGGCGAAAGCCUGACGGAGCAACGCCGCGUGAGUGAUGAAGGUCUUCGGAUCGUAAAACUCUGCUAUUAGGGAAGAACAUAUGUGUAAGUAACUGAGCACAUCUUGACGGUACCUAAUCAGAAAGCCACGGCUAACUACGUG